AGAGCUCCAGUUGUGUCUUGUAAGAAUUGGUCAUUGUUUCAUGGGGACGACUGGCUCCUUUGGGUGGGAUCUGAUGGCAUCUCAUGGAGUUGAGGUUGUCUGCCAACGCUAACUGGCCAGCUCUGACAGGAGGUGCGUGGCCCAGGAGGAGCCAUCAGGCCAGUUCUCUGGGAUACUGCUGUGUCUCCAGCUCUGCAGUUUGCUCUUCGUCACUCAGCGGCAGACGGAGAGGCAGACACGAGCCCCUUGUGAGCCCUCCUCCUUACCGUCAUCUCACAAUGCUCUGAAAUAAGGAGGCAAAUGGCUGAGGUCCCCUCAACAGAGUCUCGCUCUGUCCCAGGCUGGAGUGCCGUGGUGUGGUCUUGGCUCACUGCAACCUCUGCCUCCCGUGUUCAAGCGAUUCUCCUACCUCAGCCUCCCGAGUAGCUGGGAUUACAGGUAGAUGUGAUUGAGUUCUAUCUACCA
rnacentral:lncRNA from 10 species